CCUACGGGAGGCUGCAGUGGGGAAUAUUGGACAAUGGGGGCAACCCUGAUCCAGCCAUGCCGCGUGUGUGAAGAAGGCCCUCGGGUUGUAAAGCACUUUCAGUGAGGAAGAACGCCUGGUGGUUAAUACCCAUCAGGAAAGACAUCACUCACAGAAGAAGCACCGGCUAACUCCGUGCCAGCAGCCGCGGUAAUACGGAGGGUGCGAGCGUUAAUCGGAAUUACUGGGCGUAAAGCGCGCGUAGGUGGCUUGAAAAGCCGGUUGUGAAAGCCCCGGGCUCAACCUGGGAACGGCAUCCGGAACUGUCAAGCUAGAGUGCAGGAGAGGAAGGUAGAAUUCCCGGUGUAGCGGUGAAAUGCGUAGAGAUCGGGAGGAAUACCAGUGGCGAAGGCGGCCUUCUGGACUGACACUGACACUGAGGUGCGAAAGCGUGGGUAGCAAACAGGAUUAGAUACCCUAGUAGUC
rnacentral:rRNA from 1 species